CCCUGACAUGAUGCCCAACAACUUCUUCUUUGCAAAUUCAUUCACUGCACCCUCCGCAACGCAACAAAACAAGGGGAUACAGGCGUACAGCUAGCGAGACAGCCAUACAUCUCCCAUGUGGGGGGCCGUUGGCCGUACGCUGCCAUCGUUUACGUACGUGCGUGCGCGCGUGCUCUGCUUGCGUUACGCGUAGACUUCAAACAUGCACGCUCUUCUUCACCCUUUGUUUGUUGUUUGGGGGAAACAAUAAAAAGGUAAAGUGGUUAAUUAUAUAUACCAUGUUGCCAAUAAGGAUACCACACUUCACAGUGGAC
rnacentral:lncRNA from 1 species